ACAGGAGUAGCUCAGUUGGCUAGAGUACUAGACUGGGGGUCUAGGGGUCGCGAGUUCGAGUCUCGUCUCUUGUA
rnacentral:tRNA from 2 species